rnacentral:sRNA from 1 species
GGUUUGCCAAAGAGUUUAUGGAGAGACAUGGAAUCCCAACUGCACAAUGGAAGGCUUUCACCAAACCUGAAGAGGCCUGCAGCUUCAUUUUGAGUGCAGACUUCCCUGCUUUGGUUGUGAAGGCCAGUGGUCUUGCAGCUGGAAAAGGGGUGAUUGUUGCAAAGAGCAAAGAAGAGGCCUGCAAAGCUGUACAAGAGAUCAUGCAGGUAGGCUGAGUCUUCUGAAAAAAUUUAUUUUUCUAUUCAUACUGAAUAAAUACCCUUUUAAGUUUAAAAAAUGUUCCUCACAAUAAGGAAAAUCUAUUUUCAAACAUGGGUAAGUUAUUUUUAAUAAUCCCAUGUAUUAUAAUCCAUCUCUAUAAAAUAGUUAUUAUGGAUUUACACUGUAAAUUAAACCAUGAUUGUAUUAUUUUGAAGUAAAUUGUAACAUCCUUUGUUGUCUGCCACUGAAAGAAAAUCCUCAGACUCUAGAACAUAUAAAUGAAUUAUCACGCCAUCCAUGAGGACAAAAGUAUUUGUCCCACGUGUCCCAGGUCUAAGAGAAGUAAAUUAAUGAAUGAAUAUGCCUUGUCUUUCGUGAUCGAUCUUUGUUGUUGUGGGUUUUCUGUCCUUGUAGAAAUCUACUUUCACAAGCAUGCUUUAGUAUAGUUAUUACAGCCAAACAUGUAUAAUUAUAAUCGGAAGUAAGGAUUAAGUGGUGAUAACGAAAACAUCUGUUUUUCCCACACCUUAUUUGAAACUGGAUCACUAAAUCUUCAGGAGAAUAUUAGAGAUGUGUU